AUACUUGAUGCUCCUUUCAAGAACCUAAAAAGAACAGAAAAUAAAAAAGUUCUUAGUAUCAUAAGGAAAUGAAAUCAUAAGAAAAUAACAGCCACAAAUUAAUUGUUAAAUUAGUGAAACAGUAUAGUUAGAAAUUAUAGCCCUGUAGUGAGAGAAAUAAAAGGAGCAAUGCAUAUCAUGCAUCAACGCAUUAGAUCAGGAAUUCUCAGCACUUCUGCAAUAAUUUCUAACAGCCACCAAAAUAAUGUUGCAGGAAAGGCAUACAAAUGUGGCUCCAAAAGACAAACAAAUAUCAAAUGUGUUUAGUUUGCAGUUUGUUCAGAAGGAAUAAUUUCAACUUCAACCUCAUUGCUCUUAUCAUCAAGGAAAAAUAAAGUAAUAAAUUGUCCAAUCACUGUUUAACUAAAAUAUAAUGUGGCUAAAGAAUCUCACAUCACUGCCAACAACCCAAACCAGAGGAAAAAGGAGCAAAAUGGCAAAAAUAAUCCACAGCGAACAUAUUAUACGUCAUCCAAUAUUCAACUGCAGAAGGGAGAAUGAAAAGAAAAAAAUUUUUAAAAUUCCAACAUAUAUGCAGCGCAUGCUGCACUAGGGGUGAGCAUUAUUUGGUUUGA
rnacentral:misc_RNA from 1 species